GACGAACGCGGCGGCGUGCCUAAUACAUGCAAGUCGAACGAGAGCGACCGGUGCUUGCACUGGUCAAUCUAGUGGCGAACGGGUGAGUAACACGUGGGUAACCUGCCCAUCAGAGGGGGAUAACAUUCGGAAACGGAUGCUAAAACCGCAUAGGUUCUUUAGUCGCAUGACUGAAGAAGGAAAAGAGGCUUAGGCUUCUGCUGAUGGAUGGACCCGCGGUGCAUUAGUUAGUUGGUGAGGUAACGGCUCACCAAGGCGAUGAUGCAUAGCCGACCUGAGAGGGUGAUCGGCCACAUUGGGACUGAGACACGGCCCAAACUCCUACGGGAGGCAGCAGUAGGGAAUCUUCCGCAAUGGACGCAAGUCUGACGGAGCAACGCCGCGUGAGUGAAGAAGGACUUCGAUUCGUAAAACUCUGUUGUAGAGAAGAACAGCGCAUAGAGUAACUGUU
rnacentral:rRNA from 1 species